rnacentral:rRNA from 1 species
UGCUAGGUGUCCUUAGUGGCGCACGGGUGAGUAACACGUGGGAACAUACCUCAUAGUACGGAAUAACUGCGGGAAACUGUAGCUAAUACCGUAUAUUCCAGUAAUGGGAAAGAUUUAUCGCUAUGAGAUUGGCCCGCGCAAGAUUAGUUUGUUGGUAAGGUAAUGGCUUACCAAGGCUACGAUCUUUAGCUGGUUUGAGAGGAUGAUCAGCCACACUGGGACUGAGACACGGCCCAGACUCCUACGGGAGGCAGCAGUAGGGAAUAUUGGACAAUGGGGGCAACCCUGAUCCAGCAAUGCAGCGUGAGUGACGAAGGCCUUAGGGUUGUAAAACUCUUUCAUCGGUGAGGAUAAUGACAGUAGCCGAAGAAGAAGGACCGGCUAAUUCCGUGCCAGCAGCCGCGGUAAUACGGAAGGUCCUAGCGUUGUUCGGAAUUACUGGGCGUAAAGCGCAUGUAGGCGGAACAGAAAGUUAGAAGUGAAAUCCCUGGGCUCAACCUAGGAAUUGCUUUUAAAACUUCUGUUCUGGAAUUCAGGAGAGGAAAAUGGAAUAUCCAGUGUAGAGGUGAAAUUCGUAGAUAUUGGAUGGAACACCAGUGGCGAAGGCGGCUAUCUGGACUGACAUUGACGCUGAGAUACGAAGGCAUGGGUAGCAAACGGGAUUAGAUACCCCGGUAGUCCAUGCAGUAAACGAUGGGUGCUAGUCGUCGGACUUAUGUUCGGUGUCGUAGCUAACGCGUUAAGCACCCCGCCUGGGGAGUACGGUCGCAAGAUUAAAACUCAAAUAAAUUGACGGGGACCCGCACAA